rnacentral:rRNA from 1 species
UACGGGGGGGGCUAGCGUUGUUCGGAAUUAUUGGGCGUAAAGAGCUCGUAGGCGGUUUGUCGCGUCUGCCGUGAAAGUCCGGGGCUCAACUCCGGAUCUGCGGUGGGUACGGGCAGACUAGAGUGAUGUAGGGGAGACUGGAAUUCCUGGUGUAGCGGUGAAAUGCGCAGAUAUCAGGAGGAACACCGAUGGCGAAGGCAGGUCUCUGGGCAUUAACUGACGCUGAGGAGCGAAAGCAUGGGGAGCGAACAGG